rnacentral:rRNA from 1 species
AUUGAACGCUAGCGGGAUGCUUUACACAUGCAAGUCGAACGAGUGGCGGACGGGUGAGUAAUAUAUCGGAAAGUGCCCAGUAGCGGGGGAUAACUACGCUAAAGAGUGGCUAUUACCGCAUACGAUUGGAGCGGCGGAUAUCGGAUUAGCGAGUUGGUGGGGUAAAGGCUCACCAAGGCAACGAUCCGUAGCGGGUUUGAGAGGACGAUCAGCCACACUGGGACUGAGACACGGCCCAGACUCCUACGGGAGGCAGCAGUGGGGAAUUUUGGACAAUGGGGGAAACCCUGAUGCAGCCAUCCCGCGUGUAUGAGAAGGCCUUCGGGUUGUAAAGUACUUUUGGCGGAGAAGCGGUAUCUGCAGAAUAAGCACCGGCUAACUACGUGCCAGCAGCCGCGGUAAUAC